rnacentral:rRNA from 1 species
AGCGAACGCUGGCGGCAGGCUUAACACAUGCAAGUCGAGCGGGCGUAGCAAUACGUCAGCGGCAGACGGGUGAGUAACGCGUGGGAACGUACCUUUUGGUUCGGAACAACACAGGGAAACUUGUGCUAAUACCGGAUAAGCCCUUACGGGGAAAGAUUAUCGCCGAAAGAUCGGCCCGCGUCUGAUUAGCUAGUUGGUGUGGUAACGGCGCACCAAGGCGACGAUCAGUAGCUGGCUGAGAGGAUGAUCAGCCA